rnacentral:lncRNA from 1 species
AAGGCGUCUAGCAUGUAUUCAGUAACAUUUAUCUAACUAAUAUUUAUUAAACUCCCAGUACAUGACAGAUAUGGUGCCAGGCCUUGAGUACACAAUAGUGGGGAAGAUAAAGCAGGUUUCUGCUCCCACUAAACUCAAGCCAGGUGAAGAUGGACAACAACUAAACGUACAUUCAAAAUGAAGUGAGAUAAACAGGAUAAUAGUGGAAUGUCUUCCAGAUGGCUAUCUUGGUGUUUGCUGGUACCGACUACCACCCAAAUCAGAAAGUCCAGAAGAUGGAAAAGGACAGGCCUCACAGCAAAAUAUCCACCCUUAAGUCAACAGUGCUGCAGCUGAGAAACCACACGUUCGUGGACACUUUUUCUUCCAUCUCUUGCGCACCUCUUCCAGUACCUGACUCAGUGAUCAUACAUGGACAUGGGUGAUGUCAACUGCCUUUUGCCACCACGGAUGGUUUUGCUAUUCAUUAUAGGUUUGCCUAAAAUUAAUGUUAGGCCAUGAUGUAUGGUUGUUUAACAGCUUAUGCUUUCUUUUUUUAAUAGUCUUUAAGAAAAAAUUGAAACUUGUAAUCUGAAGUGGUAAAGAAAACAUAUUUUCAAACUUUGUUUAAAAUCCAAAUGAUCCUCAAACUAAUUAAAAUAAGAUCUAAGAUGGUGUCUGAUAUUUUCAAGGUCAUUGGAGAUAAUUACCUUGUUUUGAUCAUUCUUACCGAUAAUGGCACUAAAAGUAAUUUGGUGACAGGGCUAUCCCUAAUUGGAUAUGGCUGUCUUGGUUUUGGGUUUUUUUUUUGGGGGGGGGGGACUCUUUAGGGCUGCACCAGUGGUAUUUGGAGGUUCUAAGGCUAGGGGUUGAAUCAGAGCUGUAGCUGCUGGCCUACACCCCAGCCACAGCAAUGAGGGAUCAGAGCCACAUCUGUGACCUACACCACAGCUCACUGCAAUGCCAGAUCCUUAACUCAGGAGCAAGGCCAAGGGUCAAACCUGCAUCCUCAUGGAUGCUAGUCAGAUUCAUUUCUGCUGAGCCACGAUGGGAACUCCUGCCUUGUUAGUGAAGGGCAGUGCUGGAGCAGGGGGAAGGGGACGGGAAUGGGGGUGGGAUGAGGCAUAGCCACAAGUAGGAAAUUUUAUUUCUAGGCUAGUGUUACUUAAAAUAUUUGGGUGAAUAUUUCAUUUUACUUCCAAUGUAAAGAUAGCACUUUAAACUGCUUAUCACUAGAAACAGUUGAUUCUCAAGCAAGGUGAACCCUGUUUGUGUUGGGCCUUGGAGUAUCUGAGCAUAUUACUCCUGGAGGUAAAUUCUUCUCAGUUUGAGAAACGCAAUUACAAGGGGGAAAACAAUGCAAGGAAAGACAGAAGACUUAGAUUCCAAUCCUAGCU